ACACUGCUGGUUAACUGCUUCGGAAGAGGACAGCCCGCAGUCUGGAGUGAGCAGCGAAGCAGAGAAAAGGAGACGCCCUUUCGGACAAGGGACUGGUUGGUUUGUUCUUGUGCAGAGAACCCACUCGCUCACUCUCAAACGGUAGCUGUUCGGUUUAUUUGUCCUUUUGCAGUGUAUGCGGAGCCCCACUGUGUGGCACGCACUUGCUUCCGGCAGAGAUCCUGCCCUUCAGGAGCAACUAAACUUGUUGCAAAUAAAGUGCUGUGAAAGUUCAGAAGAGGAAGAUAUUAGAUAUAACGGCAUCAUUCUCUCGUUUUUUAAGUGUUCCUAUUAUGUGCCAGAAUGCUGGUCCAGUGAGGGCUUUAUGAAGGCCAUCCAGACUACAGGAACAGAAUUGCUAAGCACAUGGGGCGGGAGGCGGAGGGAAUCCUCCAGGGAGACCAAAGUAAGUACUUCAGUUUCCUUGAAGGCUUGUGUGAUGGGAAGGAGUGCUAUGGUAGGCGUCACUACAUAUUCUGUUCGUUUUAAAUUAAAAAACCAUGGGCACAUAUUGCCAAAAAUAAAAAAGGGAAGGAAAAAGGUAUAGUUGGGAGAUAGAUGAAUACAAGAGAAAUUAAGGACAUUAAUGGUUUAAGCCUUGAAAGGCUAGAGGUGGAACUAUAACUGGACAAGGUGGACUAGGGUUGUAAAGUCCUCUAACCCAGCGGACGGGGUGGGGGUGUGUGUGGGUUGGGGAUGAAACUGUUCCACUUCAGAUCAUCAGGCAUUAGAUUCUCACAGGGAGCCGGCAAACCUCACAUGUGCAGUUCACAAUAGGGUUCGCGUGCCUAUGAGAAUCUGAUGCCACUCGCUAAUCUGACAGCAGGCAGAGCUCAAGGCGAUAAUGCUCACUCGCCCGCCGCUCACCUCCUGCUAUCCGGCUUGGUUCCUAACAGGCCACUGUCUGGUUCCGGUCCGCGGCCCAGGGCUUGGGGACCCCUGCCCUCUUGGGUAGGGAAGUAUGGGAAAGCAGUGCUUUAGGGCCAAUGAAUCUAUAAAACGGCUGAAAGUGGAGACAGACUGUUGGCAAGGAAGUCAAGUGGUUAGGAAACUGCAGGCCCAGGGUUACUUAGUAGUGGAAGUAAGAAGAGGUAAAUAGAAUCAAUCCGUCUUCAUUAAAGCAAGACUUCCCAGACCACUCUACCCACACCCUUCAAUAAAUACACUUACCUGUAUCAUUCAUUUGAUUUUUAUUAUCUAGGAAUGUCUGGGACCUUAUCUGUUCCAAAUAAAUGAUAUUUGCAGAGCUUAGCUAUUUUAACUUCCAAAAAGCAAAAAGAAUGGAAAAUAACUUGCUCCAUACCCUGUUUUCUGUAGACAUUCUCUGAAGUUUUUCAUAAUAUUGCUUAAAGAAUGAAAUGUAUACAAUUCACAACUGCCAUUCCCCUCUGAAAAGUUGUUACCCACCAAAAAAUAGUGGUCCAACUCAUGCAUCAAAAGCAAGUUUGGGGAUCCCACUAUAAUAGUCUGUUCUGACUCACACCAUCUGCCCAAAUUAUAUAGAUCAGGCUGCCCUGACAUAACCCCAGCCACACACCAGCAGCGGCCCCCACGCUAUAACAAAUCUUUAACCAAUUAUUAAAAUAUUAGAAAAUGCAUGACCAU
rnacentral:lncRNA from 1 species